CCCCUAGAUGUUCUGGGCCGCACGCGCGCUACACUGAACAGUUCAACAAGUCUUAACCUUGGCCGAUAGGUCUGGGUAAUCUUUGAACGCUGUUCGUGAUUGGGAUAGACCUUUGCAAUUAUGGGUCUUCAACGAGGAAUUCCUAGUAAACGCAAGUCAUCAGCUUGCAUUGAUUACGUCCCUGCCCUUUGUACACACCGCCCGUCGCACCUACCGAUUGAAUGGUCCGGUGAAAUCUCGGAUCUGAGAGAUGUCUGAUUAAUUUCGGACGCCUUUUGGAAAAGUUGCUUAAACCUUACCAUUUAGAGGAAGGUGAAGUCGUAACA
rnacentral:rRNA from 1 species